UGCAGAUGAUGCUAACCUUUUGCUGUCUAAAUACACUUGAUGAUAACUACCAAGAUCAUUGAUGCA
ensembl:snoRNA SNORD24 Small nucleolar RNA SNORD24